rnacentral:rRNA from 1 species
UACGAAGGGGGCUAGCGUUGCUCGGAAUCACUGGGCGUAAAGGGUGCGUAGGCGGGAUCUUAAGUCAGAGGUGAAAGCCUGGAGCUCAACUCCAGAACUGCCUUUGAUACUGGGGAUCUCGAGUCCGGGAGAGGUGAGUGGAACUGCGAGUGUAGAGGUGAAAUUCGUAGAUAUUCGCAAGAACACCAGUGGCGAAGGCGGCUCACUGGCCCGGUACUGACGCUGAGGUGCGAAAGCGUGGGGAGCAAACAGG